rnacentral:misc_RNA from 1 species
GAAAUGCGAUAAGUAAUGUGAAUUGCAGAAUUCAGUGAAUCAUCGAAUCUUUGAACGCACAUUGCGCCCCCUGGUAUUCCGGGGGGCAUGCCUGUUCGAGCGUCAUUUCACCACUCAAGCCUCGCUUGGUAUUGGGCGACGCGGUCCGCCGCGCGCCUCAAAUCGACCGGCUGGGUCUUUCGUCCCCUCAGCGUUGUGGAAACUAUUCGCUAAAGGGUGCCGCGGGAGGUCACGCCGUAAAACAACCCCAUUUCUAAGGUUGACCUCGGAUCAGGUAGGGAUACCCGCUGAACUUAAGC